GUGCUUGCUUCAGUAGCACAUGUACUAAAAUUGGGACGAUACAGAGAUUAGCGUGGCCCCUGUGCAAGGUGAGACACAAAUUCAUGAAGCAUUCCAUAUUUAA